rnacentral:rRNA from 1 species
UACAGAGGUCUCAAGCGUUGUUCGGAUUCAUUGGGCGUAAAGGGCGCGUAGGCUGCGGGGCAAGUCGGGUGUGAAAUCUCAGAGCUCAACUCUGAAACUGCACUCGAUACUGCUUUGCUCGAGGACUGGAGAGGAGAUUGGAAUUCACGGUGUAGCAAUGAAAUGCGUAGAUAUCGUGAGGAAGACCAGUGGCGAAGGCGGAUCUCUGGACAGUUCCUGACGCUGAGGCGCGAAGGCCAGGGGAGCAAACGGG